rnacentral:misc_RNA from 1 species
UGUCUUGGGUGGCGUGGCGG